UGUAUAGGGGCUGACGCCUGCCCGGUGCUGGAAGGUUAAGAGGAGUGGUUAGCUUCUGCGAAGCUACGAAUCGAAGCCCCAGUAAACGGCGGCCGUAACUAUAACGGUCCUAAGGUAGCGAAAUUCCUUGUCGGGUAAGUUCCGACCCGCACGAAAGGCGUAACGAUUUGGGCACUGUCUCAACGAGAGACUCGGUGAAAUCAUAGUACCUGUGAAGAUGCAGGUUACCCGCGACAGGACGGAAAGACCCCGUGGAGCUUUACUGUAGCCUGAUAUUGAAAUUCGGCACAGCUUGUACAGGAUAGGUAGGAGCCUUUGAAACGUGAGCGCUAGCUUACGUGGAGGCGCUGGUGGGAUACUACCCUAGCUGUGUUGGCUUUCUAACCCGCACCACUUA
rnacentral:rRNA from 1 species